UGGGGUGAGCCAAGAUCGUGCCACUGC
rnacentral:piRNA from 1 species